ACUUGGGUUUGUUCCCUAACAUUUUCACCAAAUAUGGAAAAUCUGUUUUGGGAAUUGAGUAAGAGUGAGUAACAUUUAUUUUUGCAAAGCAAUUGUAUUAUUUAGGGCACAUCAGCCUUCCAUUGCAAAACAUCUCUAACCACCAGUAAGAAACUCACUAGUGUGCAGCCUUCUGUGUUCUCCUAAUUCUGCUUGAGAAAAGAGAAUGGAUGUUAAAAGACGCAAGGGCUUCCCUGCAGCUUCCCUUGGCUAAGCUUGAAGAGAACCAGGGCCUCCCUCAAACAAGACUGUCCACAUCACGACUGGCAUUGAGAUUGUUCCUUUCUACACUAAGGCAAGAGAUGUCCACUUAUUUUGAGACAACUGUGAAGUGUAUAUGCAGGAAGAUAUAUUAAUAGAGAGUGUA